ACGCAAGUAUCUCAGUGGAAGAGGCUUUCCCUUUCAAGGAAAGAGUCGCAGGUUCGAUUCCUGCCUUGCGUU
rnacentral:tRNA from 1 species